UAAGCUUCGAGGAGGAAAACGUAAUUAUGUCUUGUGAAUCCGCGCUAGAACGAAUAUGGGGGGGGGGGGGAGACGCCAUGGCGUUGUUUACAUCCCGGGGCCCAGUAGCAGGUCCCAGCCUCUUCCUUCUCGGGUGAUUUCUAGAGUAAAUAAUUGAGAGAAGACUACAAGUGUGUCCCAUCCCUGAAUUGGGAGUUCCCUGCUUUGUGCUUUUAAGUCAGGCCAACAGGUUGAGACACAAGCUGUUUUGGUCAGGACUUGAGGAUGUUGACCAGAGUCCGCUAAUAUCCUUCAAUAUUUAGACACCUUCUCCAAGUGAUACGCCAUGACAGAAGUGUUCCGGUUCGGCCUCGUGCCCAUCGCUUGUCGUGCCCGGAAUGAGGACCGCAGCCAAGUGGCAUUGAGUCUCAACAACAAUGAAGUGAAUAUAUAUGGCAGAGCUGCAUCAGAGUGGAAGCU
rnacentral:misc_RNA from 1 species